rnacentral:rRNA from 1 species
GACGAACGCUGGCGGCGUGCCUAAUACAUGCAAGUCGAGCGAAGCGGCGGAUGGGUGAGUAACGCGUGGGUAACCUGCCCAUAAGUAUGGGAUACCAUUUGGAAAAAGACGCUAGUACCGGAUACUAAAGGAUGGAACGGCGAUGCAUUAGCUAUCUGGUAAGGUAACGGCUUACCAAGGCGAGGAUGCAUAGCCGAGUUGAGAGACUGAUCAGCCACAUGUGGACUGAGACACGGCCCAAACUCCUACGGGAGGCAGCAGUGGGGAACAUUGCACAAUGGGCGCAAGCCUGAUGCAGCCAUGCCGCGUGUAUGAAGAAGGCCUUCGGGUUGUAAAGUACUUUCAGCGAGGAAGCGUUACUCGCAGAAGAAGCACCGGCUAACUCCGUGCCAGCAGCCGCGGUAAUUC